GUCGAGAAUCUUUCACAAUGGGGGCAACCCUGAUGGAGCGACGCCGCGUGGAGGAUAAGGUCUUCGGAUUGUAAACUCCUGUCAUGCGUGAACAAGGUUGCUUGGUUAAUACCUGGGCAAAUUGAUGGUAACGCAAGAGGAAGAGACGGCUAACUCUGUGCCAGCAGCCGCGGUAAUACAGAGGUCUCAAGCGUUGUUCGGAAUCACUGGGCGUAAAGGGUGCGUAGGUGGCGUGGUAAGUCAGAUGUGAAAGCCCGGGGCUCAACCUCGGAACUGCAUCUGAUACUGCCAUGCUAGAGUACUGGAGAGGUGACUAGAAUUCUCGGUGUAGCAGUGAAAUGCGUAGAUAUCGAGAGGAAUACCAAAGGCGUAGGCAGGUCACUGGACAGUUACUGACACUGAGGCACGAAGGCCAGGGGAGCGAACGGGAUUAGAUACCCUAGUAGUCC
rnacentral:rRNA from 1 species